rnacentral:rRNA from 1 species
UACGUAGGGUGCAAGCGUUAUCCGGAAUUAUUGGGCGUAAAGAGCUCGUAGGCGGUUUGUCGCGUCUGCUGUGAAAACUGGAGGCUCAACCUCCAGCCUGCAGUGGGUACGGGCAGACUAGAGUGCGGUAGGGGAGAUUGGACUUCCUGGUGUAGCGGUGGAAUGCGCAGAUAUCAGGAGGAACACCGAUGGCGAAGGCAGAUCUCUGGGCCGUAACUGACGCUGAGGAGCGAAAGCGUGGGGAGCGAACAGG